UAAAGUUGGGGCUGGCUGCUCACCCAAUCAAGUGGACCAAGGGAGGAGGGCUCUUCCCAGUCCUGUUGCAGAAGUGCUUACUUAGAGUUUGGUGAUGAGAUCCUGGAGCUGAGCUUACAUCUCUGGUUCCUGUGACUUCUUACUGAGGGUUGCAAAAGAUCCUUGGAAAUCCUCAAGCAUCACAAUGGAAGAUAUGGUGUAGCCAACAAAUUAAAGAAGAGGACAAAAAUGGCUCAAGAAAUCUAAGCUGAUCAACACACAAAAGAGAAAGGGAACAUUCCUUAAGUUCAGUGUUUGAGCCAACUACUACAACAAAGAUGUGAUGAAGAAAAUUAUUUGAGAAUUGAAGAGCAGCAAUAUAAAUGUAAUGAAGAUGUAGAGACCUGCAGUGAUUUCCAGUCCUUUCAGAAGCAUGAAAUGAGAAAGACUGGAGAGAGACUCUGUCAAUAUGGGCAAUGUGGGGAGGACAGCUCUGAUCUUAGGGAAUAAACUCACCCUGAGAAGAAAAUUUUUUCAGCAUUCAUGAAUUUAAUGUCACUUGGAUUCAUCAUGGAUCUCAGUUUCCUUCAUCAGAGGGCUAUCAUAUGAUGUGACAACCUGACAAGAAGGUUAAGUGCAAGGAAGGAUGAGAAAUGAAGAGAGACAAGAGGUUCACAAGAUCCUGAUUUUACCGUGGUCAUUAUUCAAAUGUCUGUAAUUAGUAGCACUGUUAGUAAACACAUUCAUAAACAGUUAAGUGUAUUCCAAAAUCAUAAAUAUAUAUUAAAUGUAAUGUGUAUGUUUCACUGUGUGUAAAAUAUUACUCUCUAAUAGAGGAAAAAUACAUUGAGGCAGUUAUUUCUACACACUUGAUUCCGAGGUAGAAUAUUGCUGGUAAAUUCUACAAUGUAAUUCCAAAUUUUACUCCCUUAUCUUACUGUUUUAUCAUUU